UACGUAGGGGGCAAGCGUUGUCCGGAAUUAUUGGGCGUAAAGCGCGUGUAGGCGGCUCGGUAAGUCUGCUGUGAAAGUCCAAGGCUCAACCUUGGAAAGCCGGUGGAUACUGUCGAGCUCGAGUCCGGAAGAGGCGAGUGGAAUUCCUGGUGUAGCGGUGAAAUGCGCAGAUAUCGGGAGGAACACCAAUGGCGAAGGCAGCUCGCUGGGACGUGACUGACGCUGAGACGCGAAAGCGUGGGGAGCAAACAGG
rnacentral:rRNA from 1 species